UAUGAACGCUAGCUACAGGCUUAACACAUGCAAGUCGAGGGGUAACGAGAGGAAAGCUUGCUUUCCUUGUCGACGACCGGCGCACGGGGGAGUAACGCGUAUCCAACCUGUCCCCAACUAGGGAAUAACUUUGCGAAAGUAAGACUAAUACCCGAUAAUUUCCUCAGAUGUCAUCUGACGAGGAAUAAAGAUUUAUCGGUUAUAGAUGGGGAUGCGUCUGAUUAGCUUGUUGGCGGGGUAACGGCCCACCAAGGCAACGAUCAGUAGGGGUUCUGAGAGGAAGGUCCCCCACAUUGGAACUGAGACACGGUCCAAACUCCUACGGGAGGCAGCAGUGAGGAAUAUUGGUCAAUGGGCGGAAGCCUGAACCAGCCAAGUAGCGUGCAGGAUGACGGCCCUAUGGGUUGUAAACUGCUUUUAUACAGGAAUAAAGUUAGCCACGUGUGGUUAUUUGUAGGUACUGUAUGAAUAAGGACCGGCUAAUUCCGUGCCAGCCGCCGCGGUAA
rnacentral:rRNA from 1 species